rnacentral:pre_miRNA from 1 species
GAAGCGGAAGCGUGCUCAGUUAGGUCUGGACUAAUGCAAAUAUGUAGUAUUGAUAUCAAAUUGCACCAGUCCCGGCCUGAUUAAGUAUGCAGGAAAC